GUGAUUACUGGUAAUUUUUAUUUUUACAAGUUUUCUGACACAGAGAUUAGUCUUAUACUCAGAAGGUUAUCACAAUAUAUUGCUACAUGAAAAAGAUUACAAAAAAUCAUAUACAAUAUGAUCCUACAUUUGCUAUUUAAAAAAAUAUGUAUGCAUAUAAAAAAUAUUAACAAAACGUAAAAUAACUCCAUUUGAAUAGUGGAAUUAUAAAUUUUUAUUAUUUUCUAAAUUCUUAUAAUGAGAAUCCAUUACCUUUGUAACUAUGAAACAAUUAAAGGGAGAAAAAAGUUUCUCUUGUGCUUUCUCAGGAAGGGCCUCAUAUCUCUUGAUCUCAACCAAUGUGACCUGUUGCUAUGGAUCUACUUUCCAUCCCAGUCCUUGUUCUGAAAGUGCUCCUGUUUCACUCCCAACAUGGGUCUCUUCAUCUCUCUCCCCACCACUAAACCUAUCUAAACCUCUUUCUCCUACUCAGCUCUGAAGUUCCCUAAAAAUGGUUUAGGCGACCCUUCCGGUCCUGGUGAGAGAUGAGGAAGAGCACUAAAGUAGUGGCAGUCUGGAAGGAAAGACUGGGCUGAAUUUAGGAGAUAUUUGUAAGGUGAAAGACUUUAGUCACUGGAGGUGAAGGGGAGAGAGGAACAGAUUUCUAAUCUGGACAGCUCGAGAUGGAUGGUGACCAAGAAUAUGGGAGAAAAACAGGUUUAGAAAGUAAGUUGAAGGGGAUCCCUGGGUGGCGCAGCGGUUUGGCGCCUGCCUUUGGCCCAGGAUGCGAUCCUGGAGACCCGGGAUCGAAUCCCACGUCGGGCUCCCGGUGCAUGGAGCCUGCUUCUCCCUCUGCCUGUGUCUCUGCCUCAUUCUCUCUUUCUCUCUGUGACUAUCACAAAUAAAUAAAAAUUUUAAAAAAAAAAUUAGAAAGUAAGUUGAGUUUCACACUACAAUGGUCCUGGGAGAGAUGUCCAGUAGGUGGUGGUUAGGUAUGUACAUGUUGAAAGUUAGGAAAGGUCUAGAUUUGGGAAUGAGGACUCUAUGAGUAAACAGCAGUUGAAAUCAUGGGAGUGGAUGCAGUCAGCCAGAAGUGCUAGGAGCAAGGAGCAAACAAGGAUCCUGGAUGGAAUCUUUGGGAUUCUCUCUUAAGAGGUGAGAAGGACUCUAUAAAAACAGACAGGUAGGCAGCAAGCCACUUGAGUAGCUGAGGUAAAUGAGAGUUAGGGGAAGUAGAGGCAGUAAAUAUUUAGACAGUCCUAUCACCUGGUGGUGGAAGAGGUCAGAAACUGAUGGUCUAGGUUUUAAAGGAAUACUGAAUUAGCUGUCAGGAUUUACAAUUAAGUAAAUUUCUCAUAAAUCUGGAUUUCUGGUCUCUUGCAAAAAUUCAGAAGAUCCAAUAAACACUGUUUUUGCAUGGCCAAUAGGAACAACCAAGAGGGAUCAAAUAAAAGCUACUUCCUUUUAGUCAGCCAGGAGCUCUAUCCCUGCUUGCCUAGCCCUUGCUUUAUAGAGUAUGAGGAAAUACUUCCCUUUGUGAAUGAAUCAAGUCCUUAUUAGUACUUAUCUAGAGUUCAGAGAAAUAAUAGGCUAGAGUUUGGUUCAUAAAGCCCCACACGUGCCCCUGAAUGCAGGAAUCCUGGGACAAACACACCUGAAUCCUGUACCAGAGCAGAUUGGGAACC
rnacentral:lncRNA from 1 species